rnacentral:rRNA from 1 species
UACGGAAGCUAAGCAGGGUCGGGCCUGGGUAGUACUUGGAUGGGAACCGCCUGGGAAUACCGGGUGCCGUAG